rnacentral:rRNA from 1 species
ACUCCUACGGGAGGCAGCAGUGGGGAAUAUUGCACAAUGGGGGAAACCCUGAUGCAGCCAUGCCGCGUGUGUGAAGAAGGCCUUCGGGUUGUAAAGCACUUUCAGUAGGGAGGAAGGUAGUGUAGUUAACACCUGCACUAUUUUGACGUUACCUACAGAAGAGCACCGGCUAACUCCGGUGCCAGCAGCCGCGGUAAUACGGAGGGUGCGAGCGUUAAUCGGAAUUACUGGGCGUAAAGCGCAUGCAGGCGGCCUGUUAAGUCAGAUGUGAAAGCCCGGGGCUUAACCUCGGAAUUGCAUUUGAAACUGGCAGGCUAGAGUCUUGUAGAGGGGGGUAGAAUUUCAGGUGUAGCGGUGAAAUGCGUAGAGAUCUGAAGGAAUACCAGUGGCGAAGGCGGCCCCCUGGACAAAGACUGACGCUCAGAUGCGAAAGCGUGGGGAGC